UACGUAGGCGGAAAAUUAAGUCAGUAGUGAAAUCCUGCAGCUUAACUGUAGAACUGUUAUUGAUACUGGUUUUCUUGAAUAUAGUUGAGGUAGGCGGAAUGUGUAAUGUAGCGGUGAAAUGCUUAGAUAUUACACAGAACACCGAUUGCGAAGGCAGCUUACUAAGCUAUGAUUGACGCUGAGGUACGAAAGCGUGGGGAGCGAACAGGAUUAGAUACCCUGGUAGUAC
rnacentral:rRNA from 1 species